rnacentral:rRNA from 1 species
UGAGGAAUAUUGGGCAAUGGGCGAAAGCCUGACCCAGCCACGCCGCGUGAGUGAUGAAGGCCUUCGGGUUGUAAAGCUCUGUGGAGAGGGACGAAAAAGCGUGCGAAUAAUACCAAGCGCCUUGACGGUACCUCUUUAGCAAGCACCGGCUAACUCUGUGCCAGCAGCCGCGGUAAUACAGAGGGUGCAAACGUUGCUCGGAAUUACUGGGCGUAAAGCGUACGUAGGCGGAUUCGCAAGUCGGGCGUGAAAUCCCUGGGCUCAACCCAGGAACUGCGUUCGAAACUGCGUAUCUUGAGUGAUGGAGAGGGAAUCGGAAUUCUCGGUGUAGAGGUGAAAUUCGUAGAUAUCGAGAGGAACACCAGUGGCGAAAGCGGAUUCCUGGACAUUUACUGACGCUGAGGUACGAAAGCGUGGGGAGCAAACAGGAUUAGAUACCCCCGUAGUCC